AAAUUCUAGUCGAUUUGUCUUUUUCCGCUUACUGGCGUUUCAAUUCCACAACGACAGGAAAGGGAAAAAGGCGUAUUUACUAUGAGUUU
rnacentral:pre_miRNA from 15 species